rnacentral:rRNA from 1 species
GAUGAACGCUGGCGGCGUGCCUAAUACAUGCAAGUCGAGCGAACAGACGAGGAGCUUGCUCCUUUGACGUUAGCGGCGGACGGGUGAGUAACACGUGGGUAACCUACCUAUAAGACUGGGAUAACUUCGGGAAACCGGAGCUAAUACCGGAUAAUAUUUCGAACCGCAUGGUUCGAUAGUGAAAGAUGGCUUUGCUAUCACUUAUAGAUGGACCUGCGCCGUAUUAGCUAGUUGGUAAGGUAACGGCUUACCAAGGCAACGAUACGUAGCCGACCUGAGAGGGGGAUCGGCCACACUGGAACUGAGACACGGUCCAGACUCCUACGGGAGGCAGCAGUAGGGAAUCUUCCGCAAUGGGCGAAAGCCUGACGGAGCAACGCCGCGUGAGUGAUGAAGGUCUUCGGAUCGUAAAACGCUGUUAUUAGGGAAGAACAAACGUGUAAGUAACGGUGCACGUCUUGACGGUACCUAAGCAGAAAGCCACGGCUAACUACGU